GAUGAACGCUGGCGGCGUGCCUAAUACAUGCAAGUCGAGCGAACAGACGAGGAGCUUGCUCCUCUGACGUUAGCGGCGGACGGGUGAGUAACACGUGGAUAACCUACCUAUAAGACUGGGAUAACUUCGGGAAACCGGAGCUAAUACCGGAUAAUAUAUUGAACCGCAUGGUUCAAUAGUGAAAGACGGCUUUGCCGUCUCUUAUAGACGGAUCCGCGCCGCAUUAGCUAGUUGGUAAGGUAACGGCUUACCAAGGCAACGAUGCGUAGCCGACCUGAGAGGGUGAUCGGCCACACUGGAACUGAGACACGGUCCAGACUCCUACGGGAGGCAGCAGUAGGGAAUCUUCCGCAAUGGGCGAAAGCCUGACGGAGCAACGCCGCGUGAGUGAUGAAGGUCUUCGGAUCGUAAAACUCUGUUAUUAGGGAAGAACAAAAGUAGAAGUAACUAUGCACGUCUUGACGGUACCUAAUCAGAAAGCCACGGCUAACUACGUG
rnacentral:rRNA from 1 species